rnacentral:rRNA from 1 species
UACGUAGGGUGCAAGCGUUGUCCGGAAUUAUUGGGCGUAAAGAGCUCGUAGGCGGUCUGUCGCGUCGAAUGUGAAAACCCGGGGCUCAACCCCGGGCCUGCAUUCGAUACGGGCAGACUAGAGUUCGGUAGGGGAGUCUGGAAUUCCUGGUGUAGCGGUGAAAUGCGCAGAUAUCAGGAGGAACACCGGUGGCGAAGGUGGGACUCUGGGCCGAUACUGACGCUGAGGAGCGAAAGCGUGGGGAGCAAACAGG